rnacentral:tRNA from 1 species
GUUAUAAUAGCUUAACUAAAUCAAAGCAUCGGUUUUGUAAACCAAAGAUUAAAUAUAAAUUAUUUUUAUAACU